GUCAGGAUGAACGCUGGCGGCGUGCUUAACACAUGCAAGUCGAACGGAGUGUAAACGCUGAAGCGAUUUCGGUCAAUUCUUGUUUAUACUUAGUGGCGGACGGGUGAGUAACGCGUGGGUAACCUGCCGUAUGCACGGGGGACAACAGUUGAAACGACUGCUAAUACCGCAUAAGCGCACAGAUAGGCAUCUAUCAGUGUGAAAAGAUUUCGGCAUACGAUGGACCCGCGUCUGAUUUAGCUUGUUGGUGAGGUAACGGCCCACCAAGGCGACGAUCAGUAGCCGGCCUGAGAGGGUGAACGGCCACAUUGGGACUGAGACACGGCCCAAACUCCUACGGGAGGCAGCAGUGGGGAAUAUUGGACAAUGGGGGAAACCCUGAUCCAAGCGACGCCGCGUGAGUGAAGAAGUAUUUCGGUAGUGUAAAGCUCUAUCAGCAAGGAGAAAAUGACGGUACUUGACUAAGAAGCUCCGGCUAAAUACGUGCCAGCCGCUGC
rnacentral:rRNA from 1 species